UCUCCGUUGGUGAACCAGCGGAGGGAUCAUUACCAGAGUGCCCUAGGCUCUCCAACCCAUUGUGAACUUACCAAACGUUCCCUCGGCGGGCUCAGCGCGCGGUGGCCUCCGGGCCUCCGGGCGUCCGCCGGGGAAAACCAAACCCUGAUUUAAUCGUAUUUCUCUGAGGGGCGAAAGCCCGAAAACAAAAUGAAUCAAAACUUUCAACAACGGAUCUCUUGGCUCUGGCAUCGAUGAAGAACGCAGC
rnacentral:misc_RNA from 1 species